UACGUAGGGUGCGAGCGUUGUCCGGAAUUAUUGGGCGUAAAGGGCUCGUAGGCGGUUUGUUGCGUCGGGAGUGAAAACCUCGGGCUUAACUCGGGGCUUGCUUUCGAUACGGGCAGACUGGAGUGAUGCAGGGGAGAACGGAAUUCCUGGUGUAGCGGUGAAAUGCGCAGAUAUCAGGAGGAACACCGGUGGCGAAGGCGGUUCUCUGGGCAGUACCUGACGCUGAGGAGCGAAAGCGUGGGGAGCGAACAGG
rnacentral:rRNA from 1 species